GGUGGCCUACGUGCACGUCUUCAUCUCUUCGUGCUGCAGGCCUCCAGUAGCAUAAACGAAACGCAAUCUUUGAAGGGAAAAAGGAAAUGGAGAGAGAGAGAGAGAAAACGGCAUAAACUACCUACUUCCGGUCUAGAAGGGAACUGACGUGCAUGAUGUUUUAGUACGAAAGUAAUAGACAUUUAAUGUUUGAAAAAAUGGUUUUUGAUGGUGGUGUAUGUCUGAUAUCAAAUUCUAUUUUGAACAGUACUGUUAGAUUUGAUAAUAUAAUUUAUAUUUAUUAUUACAU
ensembl:ncRNA H01A20.4 ncRNA